CAGUUGGAAACGACUGCUAAUACCGCAUAAGCCCACGAUCCGGCAUCGGAUUGAGGGAAAAGGAUUUAUUCGCUUCAGGAUGGACUCGCGUCCAAUUAGCUAGUUGGUGAGGUAACGGCCCACCAAGGCGACGAUUGGCAGCCGGACUGAGAGGUUGAAGGCCACAUUGGGACUGAGANACGGCCCAGACUCCUACGGGAGGCAGCAUG
rnacentral:rRNA from 1 species